rnacentral:rRNA from 1 species
GAUGAACGCUGGCGGCGUGCCUAACACAUGCAAGUCGAACGAAGCAUGGGGAUCGGAGAUUCGUCGAAGGGAACCAUGACUUAGUGGCGGACGGGUGAGUAAUGUAUGAGCAACCUGCCUUUCAGAGGGGGACAACAGUUGGAAACGACUGCUAAUACCGCAUAAUGUACGGAGAUGGCAUCAUUUUUGUACCAAAGGAGCAAUCCGCUGAAAGAUGGGCUCAUAUCUGAUUAGCUUGUUGGCGGGGUAACGGCCCACCAAGGCGACGAUCAGUAGCCGGACUGAGAGGUUGAACGGCCACAUUGGGACUGAGAUACGGCCCAGACUCCUACGGGAGGCAGCAGUGGGGAAUAUUGGGCAAUGGGCGAAAGCCUGACCCAGCAACGCCGCGUGAAGGAAGAAGGUCUUCGGAUUGUAAACUUCUUUUAUGAGGGACGAAGGACGUGACGGUACCUCAUGAAUAAGCCACGGCUAACUACGUGCCAGCCGCCGCGGUAAGAC